rnacentral:rRNA from 1 species
CGGUGGAGUAUGUGGUUUAAUUCGAUGCAACGCGAAGAACCUUACCUGGUCUUGACAUCCCGGAGACCCUUAGGAAACUAGGGGGUGCUUCCAUCUGGAAGAAUCUGGAGACAGGUGCUGCAUGGCUGUCGUCAGCUCGUGUCGUGAGAUGUUGGGUUAAGUCCCGCAACGAGCGCAACCCUUGCCUUUAGUUGCCAGCAGUUCGGCUGGGCACUCUAAAGGGACUGCCGGUGUUAAACCGGAGGAAGGUGGGGGAUGACGUCAAGUCCUCAUGGCCUUUAUGACCAGGGCUACACACGUACUACAAUGGCCGAUACAAAGGGCAGCGACACUGCGAGGUGAAGCCAAUCCCGUAAAAUCGGUCUCAGUCCGGAUUGGAGUCUGCAACUCGACUCCAUGAAGUUGGAAUCGCUAGUAAUCGUGGAUCAGCAUGCCACGGUGAAUACGUUCCCGGGCCUU